CCACAAUGACUUAAGCGUAAAUAUUACAGUCGUAUUUAUUUUUAAUACACGUACAAAUAUAUAAACGUCUUUAUUUGGUGAGAACACAAUUCAAAAACAAUUGAGCAACACACUGGAUUCCUAACUGCUGAUUAAUUAGAAACAGACAUACGGACAAAAUUAUUCAUACAAAAAAAAUGUUUUUUACAGCUUUAUUGAUUUGCCUUUUUUAUUGUUCUGAGAUUGAAGCAAGCAGGAAUGACUUGACAAUGUUUGCUGUAGACAAUAAUCUUCAAAAGAUUACGUCUGCUCUUUCAGAAAUACGACUAGAGCUUAAAACUUUGAAUCGCAAACCAAAAUCUUGCGAAGAUAUCUACACAGAUGACAAUCUAAGUCCAAGCGGAGAUUAUGUUAUUUAUCCAUUGCAAAUGGCUGUUAGAGUAUA